rnacentral:rRNA from 1 species
ACGGGGGGGACAAGCGUUGUUCGGAUUUACUGGGUGUAAAGGGCGCGUAGGCGGACUUUUAAGUCGGCUGUGAAAACCUGGAGCUUAACUCCAGGUCUGCACUCGAUACUAUUGGUCUUGAGUAUGGGAGAGGAUAGCGGAAUUCCAGGUGUAGCGGUGGAAUGCGUAGAUAUCUGGAAGAACACCGGUAGCGAAGGCGGCUAUCUGGCCCAAUACUGACGCUGAGGCGCGAAGGCCGGGGGAGCAAACAGGAUUAGAUACCCUGGUAGUCCCGGCAGUAAACGAUGGAUACUAGAUGUUGGGGGUAUCGACCCCUUCAGCGUCGCAGCUAACGCAAUAAGUAUCCCACCUGGGGAGUACGAUCGCAAGAUUG